rnacentral:lncRNA from 1 species
AUGGAAUCCAUUGCAGAGAGUGGAGCAGGGUGACGGCUCUUGUCGUGGCUUGUCAGAGGGUGGUGGAGCAGCGUGGAAUCCGUUGCAGAGAGUGGAGCAGGGUGACAGCUCUUGUCGUGGCUUGUCAGAGAGUUCGGAUCCAUCGAUUGAAGCUCGACUGGGAUGCCUGAUGGAGCAGAAUGGCUCUUCACAUCGUCGUUCUGGGAGAGGGUCGGAUGUUCCGAGGUCGCUGACGUUUUAGGUGGGAGUCACCUGCCGUAGG